AUUGAACGCUGGCGGCAGGCUUAACACAUGCAAGUCGAGCGGGGGAAGGUAGCUUGCUACCGGACCUAGCGGCGGACGGGUGAGUAAUGCUUAGGAAUCUGCCUAUUAGUGGGGGACAACAUCUCGAAAGGGAUGCUAAUACCGCAUACGUCCUACGGGAGAAAGCAGGGGAUCUUCGGACCUUGCGCUAAUAGAUGAGCCUAAGUCGGAUUAGCUCGUUGGUGGGGUAAAGGCCUACCAAGGCGACGAUCUGUAGCAGGUCUGAGAGGAUGAGCCGCCAAGCUGGGGCUGAGACACGGCCCAGACUCCUACGGGAGGCAGCAGUGGGGAAUAUUGGACAAUGGGGGGAAGCCUGAUCCAGCCAUGCCGCGUGUGUGAAGAAGGCCUUAUGGUUGUAAAGCACUUUAAGCGAGGAGGAGGCUACUCUAGUUAAUACCUAGGGAUAGUGGACGUUACUCGCAGAAUAAGCACCGGCUAACUCUGUGCCAGCCGCCGCGGUAA
rnacentral:rRNA from 1 species